rnacentral:snRNA from 1 species
GUGCUCGCUUCUGUAGCUCGCAUACGGAGAUUGGAACAAUACAGAGAAAAUUAACCUGUCAUCAUACAAGGAUGAUGUGUAAAUUCAUGUCGUGUUCCGUAUUUAA